rnacentral:rRNA from 1 species
GACAGAGGGUGCAAACGUUGUUCGGAAUUACUGGGCGUAAAGCGCGUGUAGGCUGCUCGGAAAGUCGGAUGUGAAAGCCCUGGGCUCAACCUAGGAAGUGCAUUCGAAACUUCUGAGCUGGAGUGCUGGAGAGGAAGGCGGAAUUCUCGGUGUAGAGGUGAAAUUCGUAGAUAUCGAGAGGAACACCGGUGGCGAAGGCGGCCUUCUGGACAGUAACUGACGCUGAGGAGCGAAAGCCAGGGGAGCAAACGGG